GACGAACGCUGGCGGCGUGCUUAACACAUGCCAGUCGAACGGAAAGGCCCUGCUUUUGUGGGGUGCUCGAGUGGCGAACGGGUGAGUAACACGUGAGUAACCUGCCCUUGACUUUGGGAUAACUUCAGGAAACUGGGGCUAAUACCGGAUAGGAGCUCCUGCUGCAUGGUGGGGGUUGGAAAGUUUCGGCGGUUGGGGAUGGACUCGCGGCUUAUCAGCUUGUUGGUGGGGUAGUGGCUUACCAAGGCUUUGACGGGUAGCCGGCCUGAGAGGGUGACGGGCCACAUUGGGACUGAGAUACGGCCCAGACUCCUACGGGAGGCAGCAGUGGGGAAUAUUGCACAAUGGGCGGAAGCCUGAUGCGGCAACGCCGCGUGCGGGAUGACGGCCUUCGGGUUGUAAACCGCUUUCGCCUGUGACGAAGCGUGAGUGACGGUAAUGGGUAAAGAAGCACCGGCUAACUACGUG
rnacentral:rRNA from 1 species